UACGUAGGGCGCAAGCGUUGUCCGGAAUCAUUGGGCGUAAAGAGCUCGUAGGUGGUCUGUUACGUCUGCUGUGAAAACCUAGGGCUUAACCCUGGGCCUGCAGUGGAUACGGGCAGACUAGAGGUAGGUAGGGGAGAAUGGAAUUCCCGGUGUAGCGGUGAAAUGCGCAGAUAUCGGGAGGAACACCGGUGGCGAAGGCGGUUCUCUGGGCCCUACCUGACACUGAGGAGCGAAAGCGUGGGGAGCGAACAGG
rnacentral:rRNA from 1 species